GCCGCCGCCUCCCAUGCCACAGCCACCUCCCGUCGAUCGUACCCAAAUCCUCUGCGCGUGGUGGGAUUCCCUCAUGAGCCAUCGGUGUGCCGUUGCGCCGCCGUCGUUUGUCGCCAUCUUCACAUCGCCGCACCCGUUCCUUCCCAAAUCCUUCCUCGGGUGACCUAGGCAACCCCUAAGAGUACGACAAUCUCAGUUGAUUUCAAGGAAAGUGGCAGCGACUACCAUGAAUAGACAUCAUGUCCAGUGGCGACGCCACAAGAAUCACGUGUGUGCUUCAAUUCAAGACAAUGUCACCCUUUUACACUACGUCCACGUUGGUCAUGCCUACCCUUGAGGUACAACUCUCCUCUCCCUUACACAAUAUGACUAGGCUGGCGAUAAGGGUCAUGGCUUCAGAUCAAUAAGACAUGGCUUAGCCCUAACGUAAUACAAGGUGCCGACACAGACUGCAG
rnacentral:rRNA from 1 species